rnacentral:rRNA from 1 species
GGCACUACGGUGCUGAAGCAACAAAUGCCCUGCUUCCAGGAAAAGCCUCUAAGCAUCAGGUAACAUCAAAUCGUACCCCAAACCGACACAGGUGGUCAGGUAGAGAAUACCAAGGCGCUUGAGAGAACUCGGGUGAAGGAACUAGGCAAAAUGGUGCCGUAACUUCGGGAGAAGGCACGCUGAUAUGUAGGUGAGGUCCCUCGCGGAUGGAGCUGAAAUCAGUCGAAGAUACCAGCUGGCUGCAACUGUUUAUUAAAAACACAGCACUGUGCAAACACGAAAGUGGACGUAUACGGUGUGACGCCUGCCCGGUGC